rnacentral:rRNA from 1 species
UUUAUGGAGAGUUUGAUCCUGGCUCAGGAUGAACGCUGGCGGCGUGCCUAAUACAUGCAAGUCGAGCGAACGGACGAGAAGCUUGCUUCUCUGAUGUUAGCGGCGGACGGGUGAGUAACACGUGGAUAACCUACCUAUAAGACUGGGAUAACUUCGGGAAACCGGAGCUAAUACCGGAUAAUAUUUUGAACCGCAUGGUUCAAAAGUGAAAGACGGUCUUGCUGUCACUUAUAGAUGGAUCCGCGCUGCAUUAGCUAGUUGGUAAGGUAACGGCUUACCAAGGCAACGAUGCAUAGCCGACCUGAGAGGGUGAUCGGCCACACUGGAACUGAGACACGGUCCAGACUCCUACGGGAGGCAGCAGUAGGGAAUCUUCCGCAAUGGGCGAAAGCCUGACGGAGCAACGCCGCGUGAGUGAUGAAGGUCUUCGGAUCGUAAAACUCUGUUAUUAGGGAAGAACAUAUGUGUAAGUAACUGUGCACAUCUUGACGGUACCUAAUCAGAAAGCCACGGCUAACUACGUGCCAGCAGCCGCGGUAAUACGUAGGUGGCAAGCGUUAUCCGGAAUUAUUG